GUCAGCGUGGCGGAAUGGCAUACGCGCUGGUCUUAGAAACCAGUUUUUGCAGGUUCAACUCCUGUCGCUGACACCA
rnacentral:tRNA from 1 species